GAAUGUUUUAACUACCUACCAAUAUUUAUCUGCGAAUGUUGCUGGCAGAUUAAAGUUAGUAGCAUUUACAAAUUUAAUACGUUGGAAUGCUCCCGAAGAAAAUAUGCAUACAUCAAUAGAACAGUUGGCAUAGGGUGGUGAG